CAAGAUAUCGGAUACUGUCCCUCUUGGCGAUGACCUGAGAUCCAAUCAUCACGUCCCUGCCUACUUUGCUCGGCUCGGCGCUAAUCUUGCAAUCCAGGUAUUUUGUCUUAGAUCUGCAUAUUUUGAAACCUUUAGACUCGAGAGUCUGUCUCCAUACCUCUAACCUCUCAAUAACACCGACCCUCGUCUCAUCUAUCAAUACUAUAUCAUUAGCAAAUAGCAUACACCAAGG
rnacentral:lncRNA from 1 species